rfam:Aquimarina spongiae strain DSM 22623 genome assembly, contig: Ga0070582_102
AAGGAGGAAUCUGAAAAUCCUAAAAACAGAGUAAGAA